GGACACUGAUUAAAAAUUUUGAGACUGAUACAUAUUAUGUUUUUUUUAUUAUGAUAUAGAUGUA
rnacentral:sRNA from 1 species